rnacentral:lncRNA from 10 species
CUAGAGGGUCCCAUGACAGCUACCACGUCCUGUUCUCACACACCAGGUAUUGACACAGAGCAGCUCUGCCUUACAACAAAAGCCACAGACUUGGGGUGAUUUCAUCAGAGUCUAUUUCACCUUCAUAAGGCUGACUUCAGAACGGUCCUAAAGAGCCACUUUAUAGUAAGGUUCUCAUGUACCACGAAAGAAAUCCUGACACUCCUAAUCAAAAAAGCAAAACAAAAAUCACCUUCCUAUAUAACCCCCAAACUAUCUGCAGUAAGAUUUUCACCAAUGUUUUAUCUACAAUUUUUUUAAAAAGGGAAACAAUUAUUAUGGUACAAAACCAUUGAAAACUAUUUGUUUUCAAUGAAAAAAAUGCUUAUACUUGAAUGCUGGGUAGAGAAAGGCCAUAAAAUGGUAUGUUUUCUAGAAUUACAACUAUGUACAGUGUGUAUGCAUAAGACAAACAUUUUAAAAAGCUACCUCAAGGCAAUAGAUGUGUAACUUCUACUUUUCACAUUUCAAAUGACAUUUCUUUUGCCUUUAAAAAUCAACAUUUUUGGCUCACACCUGUAAUCCCAGCACUUUGGUAGGCCAAGGUGGGUGGAUCACAUAAGGCCAGGAGUUCGAGACCAGCCUGGCCAACAUGGCAAAACCCUGUCCCUACUAAAAAAUACAAAAAAUUAGCUGGGUGUGAUGGCGCGUGCCUGUAGUCCCAGCUACUUGGGAGGCUGAGGCAGAAUUGCUUGAACCUGGGGAGGUGGAGGUUGCAGUGAGCCAAGAUUGCACCACAGUACUCCAGCCUGGGCAAGUGAGUGGAACCCUGUCUCAAAUAAAUAAAUAAAAUAAAAAUAACAUUUUCCUGUAAAUAUGUCCUUUCUAUUUUGGCAUAUGUUUGAAAUAUCCAAUAAAACAUGAAAAGUCUGAAAAUGUUUUUAUUUUCUUAUCUUUAUCCUUGGGUGGGUGAGUUAUUAAGGCAGUGGUAGAAAAUGCCAAAAGGUAAGCAAAUUCAGUUUUACAGGCCAGACGCAGUGGCUUACAACUGUAAUCCCAACACUUUGGGAGGCUGAGAUGGGCAGAUCACCUGAGGUCAGGAGUUUGAGACCAGCUUGGCCAACACGGUGAAAUCCCGUUUCUACUAAAAAUACAAAAAUUAGCUGGGUGUGGUGGCAGGUGCCUGUAAUCCCAGCUACUUGGGAGGCUGAGGCAGGAGAAUUGCUUGAACCCAGGAGGUGGAGUUUGCAGUGAGCCCAGACUGCGCCAUUGCACCGCAGCCUGUGCAACAAGAGCAAAACUCUAUCUCAAAAAAACAAAAAUAAAAACAAAAAACAGUAGUUUUACAAUUGAAUGUGAUCCCAUAGCAGGGAAAAGUUAAACAAUAGUUACAUUAACAGUAAUUUUUUUUUUUUUUUUUUUUUGAGACAGAGUCUUGCUGUCAACCAGGCUGGGGUGCAGUAGUGUGAUCUCCACUCACUGCAAGCUCCGCCUCCUGGGUUCACGCCAUUCUCCUGCCUCAGUCUCCCCAGCAGCUAGGACUACAGGCACACGCCGCCACAUCCAGCUAAUUUUUUUGUAUUUUUAGCAGAGAAGGGGUUUCACCGUGUUAGCCAGGAUGGUCUCGAUCUCCUGACCUCGUGAUCUGCCCGCCUCGGCCUCCCAAAGUGCUGGAAUUACAGGAGUGAGCCACUGCGCCCGGCCCAUUAACAGUAAUAUUAACAGUAAUGGCAGGUUAAUGCUUACAUAGUGCUUACUACAAGCAAGGAACUCUUCCAUGGUCUGCAUAUACACUCUUAAUUUCACUACAGUCAAUGAGGUAGGCACCAUUUUACAGAUGGAGAAAUUGAGGCACACAGAGCUUAAGUAUGGAUCAGGAACUCAAACCUGAGCUCAUCCACUAUGCUGCCUCUGUUAAUGGAUAAAACACACACUGCCGCUGCCGCAAAUUUCACGAAGGCACAAGCUCCCCAUGUCUCUGGGUCAAAAUCGCAUACCAUCGCUGGCAGGGAAGCUAAAUCCAUGGAUCAGAGAUGAUCACCCUCCUCCCCAAAGAAUCCCUCACAAGUGCAAAGAAGCAUGCUAAGCAAAGGACGUUCAGAUGUUUCUGUGGCUAUUCACAGAGACGGUGUGCUUGUUUUCAUGCAGCUCCACCGCAGGAGGUAACCCGCAGACACCUGCACACAGCGAACGGAAGGCUCCUCCUGCCAUAUUAUUAUUACAGGUGCUGCUCAAAAGGAUUAGCAGCUGGAUGCUAUUACAUAACAACGAAAACCUUUAAAAACAAAGCAUAGGUUUUAUGUUCUGAAGUAAUGUUCAGAAGUGCUUCAGGGCUAGAGAAAUAUCACAGACAACGUGUUAUAAAACUAGGAGUUUAGCGUGUCCCAGAAAGAGAUUUUAUACCCUUUCCUACUACUUUUAAGUUUCCUCAAGCUACCAAUAAAAGGCUUUGCCUAUGAAUUUGUUCCAAACAAAUAAAAGAACCCUUAAUUAUUGGUUCUUCCUUCCUGUAUCUACCGUCUUCCUGCAUUAACACAUUUUUGAUCCAUUUUACAGAAGUGCUGAGUCACACCUGUAAAACAGAAGAGCAGAAAAGGAAACACAUGAGGCCCAGUUUUGGGUGAAGAUGACAACUUCGGGAGGCCAGGAUGUGAUGGCUCUGCCAUCUUAAAGCAAUAAGGCCUUCCUGCAAGUGGCUAACACAGUGAUUACUCCUAAGGGUGCUUCUGAAAGGAGCAUCUCUCAAAUGUGCAGAUGUGCAGAAAGUCUUCUUUCAAGAUAAAUACACUGGCAGAGAAGACUAAAACUAUAAAUCAAGAAUAAAAUAAAGAUACUCAUCUGUAGAAAAAUAAAGAACACUUUUUCCCUAGAUUUUUGUUAAUGAUAAAACGAUAAAAAUGUGUCGAUAAUAAUAACGAUAAAAAUGUGUCAGUUCAAAGAUCUUUAUCUAAAAACAUUAACCUUCAAUUUUUUUAAAGGAAGAGAGCCAGAUACAGUUGACCUAAACCUGUAGAGUACAGUCAGCCGACCCCAUUUCCGCCUGUCUUAACUUUUAAAGGAAGUCCCAAGAUUCCUGAGUAUAUGGUUUAUGAUGAGCAAACAGCUCUUACUUUUGCCUUAGACUCAAUUAGAACCAAAAUGUGGUUCAUUAGCACUGACUCUUCAGUCUGAUCUUACAUUAAUGUUAAAAUUAUAACACUCAUAUCUCAGUUUAGGCAUAUAAUUUAUAUUCAUAUUUACUAUUUAAAAACAGGCUGGGCACAGUGGCUCAUGCCUGUAAUCCUAGCACUUUGGGAGGCCGAGGCAGGUGGACUGCCUGAGGUCAGGAGUUUCACACCAGCCUGGCCAACGUGGCAAAACCCUGUCUCUACUAAAAAUACAAAAAAUUAGCCAGGCGUGGUGGUGGGCACCUGUAAUCCCAGCUACUUGGGAGGCUGAGGCAGGAGAAUUGCUUGAACCUGGGAGGCAGAGGUUGUAGUGAGCUGAGAUUGUACCACUGCACUCCAGCCUGGGCAAUGGAGUGAGACUCCCAAAUCAUAAACAACUUAUCAUCAAAAGUAGCAUCACUUAGUCUAGAGCAGUGGUUCUGGGCUAAGUCUAGGUCCUGCUUGUCCAUCACAAUUACCUGUGGAGUUUUUCCAAAAACUUGCUUAGCAUCCUAAGGUUGCAGCUUCAUACCUACCCCAGGGCUUCUGGUUUAGGACUGGAUGGGAUCUGUAUGUGUGUGAUACAGACAUCUGUGUGCAAAAUGCACAGGAAAUACUACCUGGCCCAUGAUCCCCUAUCCCCAAAGAAUAGACGGGAAGGAAAGGGCCAUUUGCUCGUAGGUUCUUUUUUGCAAGAAAAUGUUCACCUCUAACAGCUCGACUCUGGUUUAGUGACAUUCCCUGACCCUUCCCACUUUCUUUUCUGCACACUGCUGUUACCACUGUUAUCUCUAGGCAGAGGUGUGCCAAACCACAGGCAGUCAAAAGCAGAUCUGUUCUGGAGGGGAACUAAAGGGCCACUUUGGAGGAGAAUGGGUAUUAGAGGAUGGUUAGAAUCAUCACCUAACACAAUGUGGACAUCUGGCAGAGAAAAUUCCAUUAGGCUGAACUGUCUCCAGCAAACAGAAAGCUGGCUCCUCAGUGGUGAACAACAGAUGAAAAAUCUAAAAGACCACAAGUCUAAUCUCAGGCUUUCCACUGCCUUGCUCUUUGACCUUGGGCAGGUCUCUUCCUUUCUACAUCUCAAUUUCUUCACUGCAAAAGGAGAAGUAUAACAUUGCUAUUCCUUACAGGGAAGUAACACACAUUACUAAAAGUGACUAUAAGAUAUACUUCAAAUUGCACCAGAGAACUAAACUAUUAAUACAAAUAUGACAUCCUCAAAGGGUAGACAUUUCAGCUACCUGUAUCCCUUAAAGAAUAUGUAUUAAUUAAAAAGAGUUACACUGAAAAAAAUGUACCAAUUCUUAAAGUAAAAUUGCCCUAUUCCAGGUGACUCACAAUGAAAUGGUGCAGGGCUUGAAGGAGAAAACACAAGAGGGGAUGAAUCACACAUCUCAUGUUUUAUUCUUGGCUAUUUAUGAACCAGUGACCACAAGUUAUUUCUUUUUCCUCUAUUUCCUUUGAAAUAAAUGGAAAAUUUCAAGCUGGGCAAGGUGGUUCAUGUCUGUAAUCCUAGCACUUUGGGAGGCCAAGGCAGGAAGACGGCCUGAGCCCAGGAGUUCAAUAACAGCCUGGGCAACAUAGGGAGAUCCGGUCUCUACAAAAUAAUAAUAAUAAUAAUAAUAAUAAUAAUAAUAAUAAUAAUUGGGCAUGGUGGCAUGUGCCUGUGGUUCCAACUACUCAGGAGAGUAGGUGCUCAGUAGUUGCCGAGGUGAGAGGAUUGCUCAAGUCAGGGGCAGGUGGAUGGGUCGAGGCUGCAGUAUGUUGUGAUGCCACUGCAUACCAGCCUGGGUGACAAAGCAAGACCCUCUCUCUACCACCCCCCACUCAAAAAAAAAAUGUAAUAUACACUGCUUUCUGCAGGUUAAAAUCCUGUGGAUACCCAAACCUUGACAUGCUCUGCCUCACUGGGAACCACAAUUAGCACACAGGCAGUCAUUUUGGAGACUUUUAC